AGUGAACGCUGGCGGCAGGCCUAACAUAUGCAAGUCGAGCGGCAGCGGGUUCCCGCGAGGGGAUGCCGGCGAGCGGCGGACGGGUGAGGAACACAUCGGAAUCUGCCUGGUUGUGGGGGAUAACGUAGGGAAACUUACGCUAAUACCGCAUGAGACCCUGAGUCGACGGACUGGGGGUGAAAGUGAGGGACCUUCGGGCCUCACGCGACCAGAUGAGCCGAUGUCGGAUAGCUAGUUGGCGGGGUAACGGCCCGCCAAGGCGACGAUCCGUAGCUGGUCUGAGAGGAUGAUCAGCCACACUGGGACUGAGACACGGCCCAGACUCCUA
rnacentral:rRNA from 1 species